rnacentral:rRNA from 1 species
AUAAUAUUAACGGCGUAAAGCACGACUAACAAAAUGUCCUAAUAUUAGGAAAGAAGCUAAACUAGGCUGUAAAAAGCCAUAAGCCACACUAACCACACCCUAAUAAAAAACAAUUUCCACUCGUGAAAGCUAGGGUACAAACUAAGAUUAGAUACCUUACUAUGCCUAGCCAUAACACAACAAUUAAAUUACCCAUUGUUCGCCAAAUAACUACGAGUAAAAACUUAAAAUUUAAAAGACUUGACGGUACCUCAAAACAACCUAGAGGAGCCUGUCCAAUAACCGAUACUCCACGAUUAACCCAACCCACCCUAGCCUAACAGCCUAUAUACCGCCGUCGCCAGCCUACCUUGUGAAAGAAACAAAGUGAGCUAAAUAGUCAUGCACUAAUACGACAGGUCGAGGUGUAGCUUAUGGGUGGGCCAAAGAUGGGCUACAUUUUCUUAUACAGAAAAUACGGAUAAAUCUAUGAAAUAGAAACUGAAGGCGGAUUUAGAAGUACAGUGGGAACAACAAACCCGAUAGAAAUUAACGCAAUGAGGUGCGUACACACCGCCCGUCAUCCCUGUCAACACAAACCAAAAACAUACAUAAA